ACAGCUGGAAGGACAACUCAGAAUCAAGCCGGAGUGAUCACUCAUAAUCGAACUGGUGUGAUCACUAAUAAUCAAACUGGAGUGACAACGCAGACAACUACAGCUGGAAGGACAACUCAGAAUCAAG